AGCGAACGCUGGCGGCAGGCCUAACACAUGCAAGUCGAACGAAGUCUUCGGACUUAGUGGCGGACGGGUGAGUAACACGUGGGGACGUGCCUUUAGGUUCGGAAUAACUCAGGGAAACUUGUGCUAAUACCGAAUGUGCCCUUCGGGGGAAAGAUUUAUCGCCUUUAGAGCGGCCCGCGUCUGAUUAGCUAGUUGGUGAGGUAAAGGCUCACCAAGGCGACGAUCAGUAGCUGGUCUGAGAGGAUGAUCAGCCACAUUGGGACUGAGACACGGCCCAAACUCCUACGGGAGGCAGCAGCGGGGAAUCUUGCGCAAUGGGCGAAAGCCUGACGCAGCCAUGCCGCGUGAAUGAUGAAGGUCUUAGGAUUGUAAAAUUCUUUCACCGGGGACGAUAAUGACGGUACCCGGAGAAGAAGCCCCGGCUAACUUCGUGCCAGCAGCCGCCGUAACAC
rnacentral:rRNA from 1 species